UACGUAGGGGGCAAGCGUUGUCCGGAAUCAUUGGGCAUAAAGCGCGUGUAGGCGGCCCGGUAAGUCCGCUGUGAAAGUCGGGGGCUCAACCCUCGAAAGCCGGUGGAUACUGUCGGGCUCGAGUACGGGAGAGGCGAGUGGAAUUCCUGGUGUAGCGGUGAAAUGCGCAGAUAUCAGGAAGAACACCAAUGGCGAAGGCAGCUCUCUGGGACGGUACUGACGCUGAGACGCGAAAGCGUGGGGAGCGAACAGG
rnacentral:rRNA from 1 species